rnacentral:lncRNA from 10 species
UUUUGAAGCCCCUCUGAUGGCAAGGAGCCCUGGCGCUUGGAGCGAGAAAGUGGGUGCAGGUCUCUCCAAAGAGAGCUGAGCUCAUUCUGCAGCUCCCUUUCCAGCAGUGGUUCAGGGCUGGCGCUGCAGAGGGAGGAAGGCAAAGUGGGCACGAAAGGGCUCUGAGGUCACUGCCGGCAGCUGUCCCCAGUGGCCAGUUAUGGGGGGGAAGGCACAGAGAGGCUUGUGGGCUGAGGAAAGAUGGAGGGAACAUCAGAGAGAGAUGUACAGAGAGAUAAAAAGAGAGAGAGGAGCGUCAAGGAAAGAGACAGCUUGAGGAAGAGAUGCAUACAGGAAAACAAAGCACAGUGAGAUAUUGAAACAGACACGGAUAGAAGCAGCGGGAGAGCAAUAGACAAGAGACACACAGAGCAAUGCAGAGAGAGACACAGGUGGGAAUUGCAGCAUCCUGGGACUAGAGGGUGCAUCACCCACAGCCGGGUGAUCCCGUGUGGCCAAGCUGCAGUAAGGUGACAGAAAUCUCAGUUUCUGUGUGCCCUGAACAUGUUCUAAGAGUCAAGAAUUUAGACUGGGCACCAUAAAGGUGGAUUACUGCUGCUCUAUAGUGUCUGAGAUCUGAGCUGGAAAGAUUCAAAUGCCUGGAGGUGACUUGGUGACUAGUGCUGGAAUCUUCUGAAAGUUUCUUUUCUCAUGUAUCUAUUGCCUGUAUUGGAACCACUUGGAGGCUGGGCUCACCUGGGAUUGUCUACAGAGCAUGUACAUUUGGCCUUCCCAUGCAGCUUGGCUUUUUCACAACAUGGUGGCCCCAGGGGUAUCAGCCUUUCUCCAUGAAGGCUUAAGGAUGCAAGCAGAGGUGCUCUAGGGAACAAAGCUGAUGCUGCAAUGACUUUUAUGGCCCAACCUUGGAAGUCAUAAAACAUCAUUUAUGCCCCAUUCCACUGGUAGAAACAUUCACAAACCUGCCCAAGCAGAGGGAAGCUAGACUUUCCACGUGGCACGCAGGGUCAUGCUGAAGAAGAAGAUGUAGAAUGGAAAAUAUCGCUGUGGCAGUCUGGAAAAUAGAAUCUGCCACAGAGUAAAACCUGAAAGUGAUACAGCUUGUUCUGCUCCACAAAUGCUUCUGAGGGGUGAUGAAUAAGCAUGUGGAUGAAUAAGACUCAGUCCUUGAACUUGAGGAAUUCCCAAGGCAAAUGGGGGAGACGGAUAUGUAAAUAAAAACCAUACUGUACAUACUUCUACAGCAUGUAUCAUAUUAG